AUACUACUCACUCCGUCCAAUAAAAAUGUCUUAGAUUUAUCAAAAUUUGGAUGUGUCUAGACAUGACUUAAUGUAUAGAUGCAUUUAAAUUUAGUCAAAGUUGAGACAUCAUUUGUUGGACGGAAAGAGUACCCU
rfam:Brachypodium distachyon strain Bd21 chromosome 2, whole genome shotgun sequence.